GAUGAACGCUGGCGGCGUGCUUAACACAUGCAAGUCGAACGAGAAGUGAAGACGGAAACCUUCGGGCGGUAGGCUUUAUUUCGAGUGGCGGACGGGUGAGUAACGCGUGGGUAACCUGCCUCAUACAGGGGGAUAACAGUUGGAAACGACUGUUAAUACCGCAUAAGACCACAGCACCGCAUGGUGCGGGGGUAAAAACUCCGGUGGUAUGAGAUGGACCCGCGUUCGAUUAGCCAGUUGGCAGGGUAACGGCCCACCAAAGCGACGAUCGAUAGCCGAGCUGAGAGGAUGACCGGCCACAUUGGGACUGAGACACGGCCCAAACUCCUACGGGAGGCAGCAGUGGGGAAUAUUGCACAAUGGGGGAAACCCUGAUGCAGCGGCGCCGCGUGAGUGAAGAAGUAUUUCGGUAUGUAAAGCUCUAUCAGCAGGGAAGAAAAUGACGGUACCUGAGUAAGAAGCCCCGGCUAACUACGUG
rnacentral:rRNA from 1 species